UACGUAGGGGGCAAGCGUUGUCCGGAUUUAUUGGGCGUAAAGAGCGUGUAGGCGGCCAGGUAGGUCCGUUGUGAAAACUCGAGGCUCAACCUCGAGACGUCGAUGGAAACCAUCUGGCUAGAGUCCGGAAGAGGAGAGUGGAAUUCCUGGUGUAGCGGUGAAAUGCGCAGAUAUCAGGAAGAACACCUAUGGCGAAGGCAGCUCUCUGGGACGGUACUGACGCUGAGACGCGAAAAGCGUGGGGAGCGAACAGG
rnacentral:rRNA from 1 species